UCCCUGGUGGCUCAGAUGGUAAAGCAUCUGCCUGCAAUGCGGGAGACCUGGGUUCGAUCCCUGGGUGGGGAA
rnacentral:tRNA from 1 species